AUGGCACCAGCAGCUGCCUGUCCCCCGUCCAGGGCCUUCGGGCGGCGGAGAGUGAGGAUGCCAGACCUUCCGGCCACCUGCCAAACCUUUGCCACAACCGAGUACACUUCCACAACUCCUCGCCCCAUAAACAAGUCGGCAGGUCCAAAGCAGGUCGGUCUACAGCCACCAGAAGCAGGACGGACACAUCCCUCCAAGAUUGCCAUCGGCCUCCAGAGUCCACAGCCCAGCAGCCUCCACCAUGGGAUGGAGCACUCCAGGCCCAGAGGAAGCCUGACAGGGACGCCGGCCACCGGGGACAAGAGCCUCCUCGGGAAGAGGGGAUCCAGCUGCCGAGACGGUGAUUCCCUGUUCCUCACCCCGCCUGCUUGCUACCAUGAGGAACCGAUGACAGAAUCAAGCCAGAAUGAGAGUGAUGGAUCCUUCCCCACCCUCCUCUUUCUCCUCUUUUUUUUUUUUUUUUUUUCCCUCUCUCCCAGGUAUAUUCCUGCUAAUGAAGCAGGGCUUGGCUCUGGGAAGUUCUGCAAGGAAAUAAACCCCAGGCCUGCCGCCCAGCCUGGCCUCUGGGCCCCCAGGGGAGAGCUGCCGUAUUAAAGGGCCCCAUGCCCUCAUCGCUGGAGGAGACAAGGGAGCGAGCACUUGGUUGCACCACAGAAAUUACUGCUGUACCUCGAAUGCCCGCUUCAUUUAUCAAUUUCAUAGCAGAAAAACCCAUAUGACUGCCUUGUUCACUCGUACGCUAAAUCUCGACACAGAAAGCUCCCCACCGCCAGUCAAGUGUGCCGCGUGUGGGCCUGGAUAAAAUAACUUGAAAUACCACUAAUGAUUUAUACUUAAUUGAACCUCUAAGUGAUUAACGUGGCAGUAAUGAAUGAGUAACCCCCUCCUCGCUCCCUCGCCCGCUGGGCCCGGUGUCUCCGGGCAGAGUGGGCCUCGCCUGGGGACGUCAGCCUCGGACAGCCAGCUCGAGCCUUCUCCCUCGGCUUCCCCCGAGCCACCCAUCUGGGUCCUGGCUACAUUGCUGUCGCUUGCAGUAAAUGACUCCAUAAGCACCGUAUCAGACCAUUGAUCCUUUUUAUUAGAUUACCCAGUAGUAAGGUUAAUGCAUUUGCAUUUGGCCAAACGGAACAGGUCAGCCUGAAUCCCACGCCAAGAUCAGUGUUUAAUCGGACACCACGCAGGAGGGCUGUUCUGUCAACAUAUUGAUUUGUUGGUGGCAGUCGUCGCGGGAUGUGGAGGCCUUUCCCCCACCCCCAAAAGGAAGUGCCAGUAGAAUACACUUCCGGGACUGUGUCUUCCUUCCAGAAGACUCUCUGACAGUCGAGAGGCCAACAUGAGAGCUUCCCUGCUCCCUGUCCCAGGACAUGCGUUUCUGGCAGAAGGAUGGCUCCUGUAAAGGUUUUCAGUCCCCUCAGACAGAGACAAAGGUGGGCCCCUCCCCUUGGACCAGGAACCUAGCUGCUUUCUCUAAAUGAGGGAGAACCAGGACUUAAAUCAGUGACAAGGACACAGCGUCAGAAGCCAAAAAUUCUGCUUUUUCUGACGUUCCUAGAAUCAGACCGGGGCAGCCAUUUCUGCCUGGGUUUCUACCCCCGACAUGAACUUCCUCUUGGAUUUUCUAAAUGCAUUAGCCCAAUGCCAUUAACAUGGUUCACCACUCUAAGGAUUUUCUAGUAAGUGAAUGUGUAAGACGGAAAAACCUACUUUGUUGAACUAACGUGAGCUCUACAACGGGGAACAUAGUUUUGGGUGACCAGAAGCUCUCCAGAAACAUCACCCCUAGAAAACCAUGUUUCUUUAUAGAUGGGGAAACUGAGGCCCAGAGACAGAAAGAAACUUACCCGGGACCUCCCCAGUGAGUUCAUGCAAGAAGUCACUAGUCUUCGGCCUUCCAGACCGGCCUCGGAUGAGAAGGCAGGCCUCCUAGAAGAGGUGGCUUCGAAGCUGUGGCACGAACGAGUCUCUUUAUACAAAAGUCCUAAGACACAAGCCAUAUUUCCCAUUCAGUUGCAUGAACUGGGUCUUUGCCAGAGUGACUCCGUGGAGUGGGACUCACUGCUUCAGGAUGGAUUUAUGGAGCACAAGCCUCCGAGGACAAGGAAGCCGGCUUUCCAGUUCCCUUUCCACAUUCCGAAGGGAGUCAGGAGGCUGGGCAGGAGCCCGUCCUGUGAAGUCAGAAAUCCAGAGUUCAAGUCUCCGCUCAGUUACUUGGGGCCCAUGUCAUCGUUCUGGACCUCGUGCUCCUCAAUUGUAAUAACGCUUGCCAGCUGGUUUUGGGAUUUAGUGGGAUAAUAUGUGUAAGGUGACCCGCACGGACAUGGUCCUCAUCCAUGUAGGGCUUCUUCUCCAUCGGCUCCCUCCCUCCUGGUUUCCAUGACAAGGGUGAUCCCCCCCCAGAGCUUACAGGCAAUAGUGGUGGGUGACAGGGAGAUGAGGACACCCCCCACCUACCCAGCUGCCUCCUGCUUUCUAUGACAGGCCCAGACCCUGCCCCAGCCCGACUGUCAGAUGGACCUAGAGGCCAUGAGGAUGAG
ensembl:lincRNA